rnacentral:rRNA from 1 species
UACGUAGGGCGCAAGCGUUGUCCGGAAUUAUUGGGCGUAAAGAGCUCGUAGGCGGUUUGUCGCGUCUGCUGUGAAAACUCGAGGCUCAACCUCGGGCUUGCAGUGGGUACGGGCAGACUAGAGUGCGGUAGGGGUGACUGGAAUUCCUGGUGUAGCGGUGGAAUGCGCAGAUAUCAGGAGGAACACCGAUGGCGAAGGCAGGUCACUGGGCCGC